UUGGCCAGCAGCGGGUCCAUCUUGGAGCCAGCUGGCAUUGGCUCUGUUGGAUAUAAGGGAAGCUUCUGACAGCUUCUCACAGGAGCCACCCCUGUAGCCCUCAGCUACCAAAACCUUGCCACGUAAACCCAAUACGAGGUGGCCUGGAAUAAAGAAAUCUGGAAUUAUUUACGCAGAUAACCAAUGCACACAAACAUUGCUUAUCUGUAUGUGCUUAUCUCUCCUUUGACUGCACAAGGAAUCUAAGCUCGUAAUUUCAUCACAACUCCAAGGCAGAUGCUUGAAAAAGGAAACACAACUACUUUACAUAGGGUGUCCUGGGGCAAGGUGAGGUGUAUGAAGAGCUGGGUGAAAAAGCUCAUGUAGGGGAGGAAAGUGAGCUCAGCACCUUGUAUUGUUUUGUGUGUAAUUACUUAUGACUUAAGCAGUUUGCUGCCUAGAAAAGUUCUACAGCUGAAAAGGAUAAUGUAUUUGAUCCCAAAGGCAGUUUUUUCUGGGUUCCUCAUCCUAUAGCUUGCAUGUAAAAUUGAAAAUGAGCUGCACAGCAGCCAUUAUUUUGAAUAAAGAAAUGUGUAUGUACAGAAGGAUCUAGGUAAAGGCUAUGAAUCCUACUGAUGUUCUCUAUAUUACUCACUAGUCAGAAAUCUUAGGAUACUGUAUACACUUGUAAGUUUACCAUGGGGGAAAACUGUGGAAUUGUAAAGAAAAUAAAAUUAUGAAAUUCAAAAUGAAAUGCUAAACCAAAACCUUUUGACAUAGAGAGAGAUUGAUAUAUCAUCUCUUUUGCUUAGCUUUUGGGGGUUUCAGAUUUUUAACUUUGCCCAGAAGGCUUCCAGAAAGUUGUGGGGUUUUUGUGGUGGUGGUGUUUUGUUUGUGUUUUGUUGGGGUUUUUUUUUCCACACAGCAGACAGAAAGCAACUGCAGGACUAAGAAAGAUGCAGAAAUAAUCCAGCUGUAUAAAUGGAAUGUAAACAGUAGUGUUCAGACUGAUCUGUGAUUUGCAGUAAAAGCUACUUAUAAGUGACCUAGUGCUCUUGUCAUUUGAUAAAAUUGCUGCGCUUUGUCUAUUUUUUUGUAAAUGCACAAGUAAUCUGUUUUGAUAGUCUUUGGGGAGCUAUUGGGAUAUAGAUAGAUUGGGAUAUUGGGAUAUAGAUUAAAUUUUGGACAGACCCACACAGUAAGCAAGUGCUUUGUAAAAGUAAAUAAAUAAUGAUGGCAUUGAUUUAUUUAUACUUUUGGCUGUUAAAAAAAUUCCCCACGUGGAGAUAAUGAUAGAGAUAGCAUCAAUGAUGGAGGAACAUAUACUUGGGAACUUGGGAGAGGGAGAAAAAGAGAAUAACUUGUUAUUUCAGGAAGAAAAGCUUUUAUUUU